GCAUAUCAAAAAGCGGAGGAAAAGAAACUAACAAGGAUUCCCCUAGUAACUGCGAGUGAAGCGGGAAAAGCUCAAAUUUAAAAUCUGGUGGUCUUUGGCCAUCCGAGUUGUAAUCUAGAGAAGUGUUAUCCGCGCUGGACCGUGUACAAGUCCCCUGGAAUGGGGCGUCAUAGAGGGUGAGAAUCCCGUCUUUGACACGGACUACCAGGGCUUUGUGAUGCACUCUCAAAGAGUCGAGUUGUUUGGGAAUGCAGCUCAAAAUGGGUGGUAAAUUCCAUCUAAAGCUAAAUAUUGGCGAGAGACCGAUAGCGAACAAGUACCGUGAGGGAAAGAUGAAAAGAACUUUGGAAAGAGAGUUAAACAGUACGUGAAAUUGUUGAAAGGGAAACGCUUGAAGUCAGUCGCGUCUGCCAGGGAUCAACCUUACUUUUGUGAGGCGUACUUCCUGGUUGAUGGGUCAGCAUCAGUUUUGGUUGCUGGAUAAAGGUCAGAGAAAUGUGGCACCUUCGGGUGUGUUAUAGUCUUUGAUCAGAUACAGUGGCUGGGACUGAGGAACUCAGCGCCGCAAGGCUGUCUUAGGAUGCUGGCAAAAUGGCUUUAAUCGACCCGUCUUGAAACACGGACAAAGGAGUC
rnacentral:rRNA from 1 species